UACGUAGGGGGCAAGCGUUGUCCGGAUUUACUGGGCGUAAAGGGCGCGUAGGCGGCCUGCUAAGUCGAACGUGAAAUCCCCGAGCUCAACUCGGGAACUGCGUCCGAUACUGGCAGGCUUGAAUCCGGGAGAGGGAUGCGGAAUUCCAGGUGUAGCGGUGAAAUGCGUAGAUAUCUGGAGGAACACCAGUAGCGAAGGCGGCACUCUGGGCCGGUACUGACGCUGAGGAGCGAAAGCGUGGGGAGCGAACAGG
rnacentral:rRNA from 1 species